rnacentral:rRNA from 1 species
AGUGAACGCUGGCGGUAGGCCUAACACAUGCAAGUCGAACGGCAGCACAGUAAGAGCUUGCUCUUACGGGUGGCGAGUGGCGGACGGGUGAGGAAUACAUCGGAAUCUACUUUUUCGUGGGGGAUAACGUAGGGAAACUUACGCUAAUACCGCAUACGACCUACGGGUGAAAGCAGGGGAUCUUCGGACCUUGCGCGAUUGAAUGAGCCGAUGUCGGAUUAGCUAGUUGGCGGGGUAAAGGCCCACCAAGGCGACGAUCCGUAGCUGGUCUGAGAGGAUGGUCGGCCACACUGGAACUGAGACACGGUCCAGACUCCUACGGGAGGCAGCAGUGGGGAAUAUUGGACAAUGGGCGCAAGCCUAAUCCAGCCAUACCGCGUGGGUGAAGAAGGCCUUCGGGUGGUAAAGCCCUUUUGUUGGGAAAGAAAAGCAGCAGGUUAAUACCCCGCUGUUCUGACGGUACCCAAAGAAUAAGCACCGGCUAACUUCGU